rnacentral:tRNA from 1 species
GGACGAUUAGCUCAGUUGGCCAGAGCGUUCGCUUGACGUGCGAAAGGUCGCAGGUUCGAGCCCUGCAUCGUCCACUA